rnacentral:lncRNA from 1 species
GGCUCCCGCGGAGCAGCGCGUAACGCCGCGCUGUGCCCGCAGCAGGACGGGGAGCCUGCGGCGCUGGAACCGGUAACGGUGUCCUCGGCACUGCGCUGAACGCCACGCCGCGCUCCGUGCUGGCAGCACAGCGUUCUGCGCCGUUUUAAGGGCUUUAAAGAUGCCGAGUUGCCCGCCGAGCGAGGAGUUCGUCGGGUUUUAAAUUAAGAUGCUUUUGAAAGCAUAAACGUCCAGUUCCAGGGGACGACAAUUAGGCGUUCUGAACGCUCGGAGCGUGAAACCGUUCCGUUCCCUGUUGUAGAUGUGACAGCCGAGGCGGUAGGUGUGGCUAUCGCUGCACCGCCUUCAGAAGGGGAGGCGAACGCAGAGCUGUGCCGCUACCUCUCCAAGGUGCUACAGGUGAAGAAGAGUGACGUUAUUUUAGAGAAGGGUGGUAAAUCACGUGAUAAAGUGGUGAAGAUUUUGGUAUCGCUGACACCAGAUGAAGUAUUAGAAAAACUGAAAAAAGAAGCUUCCACUUGACGUAAAGCAGGAGCAGAAAAUGGAACAAUGUUAUGCAUCUUGGGUUUCUCAGUGCAGCAAAAUUUGGUUCAUAAAGCAGAAGGCUUGGAGUGAUGGACUUCAAAGGCAUCAGUACAACAUGAAGCGCAAAACAAUCAGUCUGUGUGGUACAGACCCUGGAAGUGUUCUCUUUAAUAUCGGGUGGCAGGUGUUGGGUGCAGUUCCACACUAUGCUAAAUAUGUAUAUCUAAAAUUAAUGUAUUUAAAGCUAAUAUAUAUACUGUUGUUGGUCAUCAUAUAGGCAAGCUAAAACCUGAAUUAUUUGCGUAGCUGAAUCAAAAUCAGAACUUCACAGUACAAAAAAAAAAAAUGACCCAGAACCUAAUUGCAUACAUAGUGGCACUUUGUAGUAGUCUGUAAUUAGUUACCUGAAAAGCAGAGCUAUAAUUGUGGUAGCUCUACAAAAUGUAUCUCAAAUGUAACGGCUUUUUAAUAAAAGGGCAAAAAAAUAUUACCA